GCCUUUGUAGUCUAGCGGUUAUGAUUCACCCUUAGGGUUUCCGUAACAUUUGGGUGAGGUCCCCGGUUCGAUUCCGGGCAAAGGCC